AAUGUAGGAGAUUCAAAUCAAAAUGAUGUUUUUGUAGAUUCAAAUCAAACUGAAAGUUCAACUCCUACUAUUAACUCAAGAAGAUUAUUGUCAGAUGUUUGGAAUCACUUUAAGAAAGAAAGGUGACGGGAAGUGGAGAGCGAUGUGCAAUUAUUGUUCCAAAAGUCUUCUAGGUGAGGCAAAACAAGGUACAUCACAUUUGAGAAAUCAUUUCAAGAGUUGCAAGCUUCGAACAACACGGGAAAUCCGACAAUCAUUUUUAAAAACUCAUAAAGAAGGUGGUGAAACCGUAGUUGUUGGCAAUCAUGUGUUCAAUCAACAAAUAGCUAGAGAUGCACUCUGAAAGAUGAUAAUUCUACAUGAGUAUCCAAUGUCGAUGGUUGAUCACAUAGGAGUGACAUACAAGGUUCUUCAAAAUUGAAAGUGGAUAACAUGAAGCUUAAUACAAUACUAGAGGAGAUAAUUGAUGAUGAUGAAUUAAGUGGUCAAAAUGAAGAUGUGGACGAACAAACAUAAAUCAUGAAGUGUUAUUUUUAGAACAAUUAUUUGAAUUUAAGUUUUAAUUUAAUUUGUAUUAAUUUGAAUUAUUUUUACUAUUAAAUUGUAUUAAUUUGA